GCACCCCGAACAAGAUCCAGACGCAACCAAAAGAACCACCACAUCCGAUCCAACCCUCUCCCCCUCGGGAGUUCCAGGACAGGGGCACGAGAGACGGGCCCAACCGGGCGGACCACCAACACAGGUCCCCACAUCAGUUCCUUGCUAGUCUACACACUGGGACCCAGCAUCCAAAGGCCCAACACCAACGAACCACCGACCCGUAGCCCACUGCUCCAGAAAUCGGUCUUCUUCUGAGCAGUUACGGCGCGCCCUAAGAAACUGGCCAGUUGGAAUGCUCCUCCGCAAAGUGACCGGAUGCCAGCUGGUCCAAUGAAGGAGACUAUUUGUCGAGAUGGGUUUCCUGAAG